GUUUGGAGGCAGGACCUGUUUUUGCCCAUUCAUUUGACUUGGGGCCUAACCACUAGCUGAGCACCAGUCAGCAUCAGGAAAGUCAUAAACCAAGAUGGAUAUUAACCACUGCUAGGAUGGUGAAUCUCUGGAAUUACCUACACCAAAGGUUUGUAGAGGCCAAAUCACUGGAGGCAAUUAAAGAGAAGGCAGGAGCAAAACUUACAACAUCUACAUGAGGCCAGAGAAGUUGUCCAUCUCCCUCUGCAUCAACAAGCACUCAAACAAAUAAUUGAAGAUCUUAACCUUGUAUGGGAAGUGGGACCAAUUUUGAGCAAUUCUUCAAAUAGAUCCUCAGAAUAUUGCUGGUAAAGUCACAAUAUUACUGGCUCUAGAGGUAAACACAAUUUCAGAAAGCGUACAGAUCAGGAAUGCAGAAGGCAGUUGUCUGUGAAUUAAUCUGCCACAGCUGUAGCUCCUGAUUCCUAUCUCCAAAGUUGUACAUAUUCAAAGAAAAAUGUCUAUUUUAAUAUGUUAAAUUGGAAUAUGAAAUGAUUUACAUUCUUGUUGAACAAGGAUAAGUGUGUGUAUCGUGUUUUGUCCUGGAUGAACCAGGAGAUUUGGAAUCGUUUGAGAGCUAGAUCUGUGGUGUUCAAAACUGGUGAUCCAGACUCCUUCAAGAAAUCUAGUUACGACUAAUGGUAGGCUAUCAUGUGGCAAAAAGGUAAUUCUCUGUGAAAUUAGAGAUACAAUUAGGUGCACAAUAACCGUGACAGGGCUUGCAUGCCAUUACUUCCUAUAAGGAGAAACCUAACAAUAUAAAUGACAGUGAUGCCUCAUUUACCAAUAAUGGCAGUACCUUUAAUGCACUCUUUAACUAUACCUAUGCCAACUCCCAUGGCAUCUGGUGACCCUCUGAUCCCUAUCUUGGAGGUCAAUGUCAGAACAUCUUUCAGGAGGGUGAACCCUCACAAAGCAUCAGGCCCCAACAGUGUACCUGGUUUUGUAAUGGUAACCUAUGCCAACCAACUAGCCGGAGUGUUCAGGGACAUGUCCAAGUUCUCAUUACAGUGGCCUAUGGUUCCCACCUGCUUCAAAAGGGCAUCAAUCAUAUCAGGCCCAAGAAAAGUAGGGUGAGCUGCCUCAAUGGCCAUAAUGAAAUGCUUCGAAAGGUUGGUGAUGCCUAGAAUUAAUUCUUACCUGAACAAGGGCCUGGGCCUGCUGCAGUUCACUAACUGCUGUAACAGGUAUACAGCAGAUGCAAUCGCACUAGCUCUCCUCUCUAUUUUGGAGUACCUAGACAACAGCAAAAUCUGCUACAGAUUACUGUUUAUCGACUACAGGUCAUCAAUCAAUACUAUUAUCCUUUUAGUAUUAAUUGCCAAAUUUUUAAACCUGGGCCUCUGUACCUCUUUCUGUAAUGAGAUCUUUAUUGAGAGACCACCGUCAGUGCAGAUCAGAAAUAACAUCUCCUCCUUGCUGACAAUCAGCAACCCCACAUCAAAAGUGUGUGCUUAGCCCAGUGCUCUACUCUCUCUACACACAUGACUGCGUGGCUAAGCUCAGCUCAAACACCAUUGAUAAAUGGUCACCAAAUUAUAGGAAAGAUGUCAACAAAAUAAAGAGAGUACAGAGAAGAUUUACUAGAAUGUUACCUGGGUUUCAGCACCUAAGUUACAGAGAAAGGUUGAAAAAGUUAGGUCUUUAUUCUUUGGAGUGUAGAAGGUUGAGGGGGGACUUGAUAGAGGUAUUUAAAAAUAUGAGGGGGAUAGAUAGAGUUGAUGUGGAUAGGCUUUUUCCAUUGAGAGUAGGGAAGAUUCAAACAAGAGGACAUUAGUUGAGAGUUAAGGGGCAAAAGUUUAGGGGCAACAUGAGGGGGAACUUCUUUACUCAGAGAGUGGUAGCUGUGUGGAACGAGCUUCCAGUGGAAGUGGUAGAGGCAGGUUCGAUUUUGUCAUUUAAAAAAAGAAUUGGAUAGGUAUAUGAACAGGAAAGGAAUGGAGGAUUAUGGGCUGAGUACAGGUAGGUGGGACUAGGUGAGAGUAAACAUUCCGCACAGACUAGAAGGGCUGAGAUGGCUUGUUUCCAUGCUGUAAUUGUUAUAUGGUUAUAAAUUCACAGAUGAUACCGUUGUUGUUGGUAAAAUAUUGGUUGGUGAUGAGGAUCAAUAAAUUGGUUAAAUGAUGUUGCAGUAACAACCAGACACUUAACAUCAGCAAAACCAAAGAAUUAAUGAAGGAGCUUGGAAGGGGAAGAAUGGAGAAGACGCACCAGUUCUCAUUGAUGGGUCAGUUGUGGAGAGGGUGAGCAGCUUCAGAUUCCUGGUUGUCAACACCUCAAGAGGAUCUAUCUUGGGGCCAAUGAUGCAAUCAUGAAAAUGCAUGCUUGUGCUUCUAUUUCAUUUGGAGUUUGAGGGGAUUUGGUAUGUGACUAAAGACUCCUGCAGAUCUCUACAGAUGUACAAGUGGAGAGUAAUCUGACUGGCUGCAUCACUGCCUGAUAUGGAGGGUUCAAUGCACAGGAUUGCAGGAGGCUGCAGGGUGUUGGAUACUCAGCAGGCAACCCUGCCUUCCACUGAGGACAGCUUCAAGAGGUGGUGCCUCAAGAAGGCAGCAUCCAUCACUAAGAACCCUCACCACCUGGGACAUGCCUUCUCAUUUCUACCAGCAGGGAGAGGGACAGGAGCCCGAAGACCCACAUUCAACGAUUCAGAAACACCUUCUUUCCCCCCUGCCAACGCCAUCAGAUCUCUGAACAGUCCAUGAUCACUACCUCAUCAUUUCUUAUUUUUUGUACUAUUUAUGUUGUAAUUUUUAGUAAUAUAUCUUUGCAUUAUACCACUGCCACGUACAACAAAGUAAAUGUCAUACAUAAGAAAAUGAUAAUAAACCUGAUUUUGAUUCUGAUUCUGAGCUCUCUUGCAGAGAUUUUCAGAGAACCACUCUGCAGAACAAUUUCAUUUUAAACACAAUUGACCAGACCGGUCUUUUGUGUAACAAUUACCUACCAUUGAUUGGAGCUGACACUCGCAAUCCUUUUUGGUUGCUCAAUGGUAUG